rnacentral:rRNA from 1 species
UAAACGAUGUCGACUGGGUGUUGGGGAAGCGAUUUCCCAGUACCGUAGCUAACGCGUGAAGUCGACCGCCUGGGGAGUACGGCUGCAAGGUUAAAACUCAAAGGAAUUGACGGGGACCCGCACAAGCGGUGGGUGAUGUGGAUUAAUUCGAUGCAACGCGAACAACCUUACCUACCCCUGACAUGUCCGAGAGCCUGCUGAGAGGCGGGUGUGCCCGAAAGGGAAUCGGAACACAGGUGCUGCAUGGCUGUCGUCAGCUCGUGUCGUGAGAUGUUGGGUUAAGUCCCGCAACGAGCGCAACCCUUGUCCCUAGUUGCUACGCAAGGGCACUCUAGGGAGACUGCCGGUGACAAACCGGAGGAAGGUGGGGAUGACGUCAAGUCCUCAUGGCCCUUAUGGGUAGGGCUUCACACGUCAUACAAUGGCCGGUACAGAGGGUUGCCAAAGCGCGAGCUGGAGCCAAUCCCCAUAAAAGCCGGUCGUAGUCCGGAUUGCAGUCUGCAACUCGACUGCAUGAAGUCGGAAUCGCUAGUAAUCGCGGAUCGGCA